GUAGGGUGCGAGCGUUGUUCGGAAUUACUAGGCGUAAAGCGCGUGUAGGCGGCUCGCUAAGUCUGGUGUGAAAUCCCUGAGCUCAACUCAGGAAUUGCAUUGGAAACUGGUGAGCUUGAGUCCGGAAGAGGGUGGUGGAAUUCCUGGUGUAGAGGUGAAAUUCGUAGAUAUCAGGAGGAACACCGGUGGCGAAGGCGGCCACCUGGGCCGGUACUGACGCUGAGACGCGAAAGCGUGGGGAGCAAACAGGAUUAGAUACCCUGGUAGUCCACGCUGUAAACGAUGAGUGCUAGAUGUUGCGGGUAUUGACCCCUGCAGCGUCGCAGGUAACCCAUUAAGCACUCCGCCUGGGAAGUACGGCCGCAAGGCUA
rnacentral:rRNA from 1 species